rnacentral:piRNA from 1 species
UGAGAGAUGGCCUUGUUCAAAAGCUUCCUGU